UCUUUUCUCUUCUACAGUCGGCUGUUGCUGUGUAUCAAUUUUAUCUUCUUCUCUACUCACCAAUCCUCAAAAGAACAACAGCCCGAAAACAAAAACAAACAGAGAGAAAUACAGGAAGAGAGACGUGAAGGAUUGACGACGAAAACAAGCCUGGGUUUUAACCUUUCAACGAUUCCAAGGUCCAGCUUUUUUGGAGAUUCUGAAGGAAAAGGAUUCAGUUAAAAAGAACUAAAACAGACGACGUCGGAUCUCUCUUUCCCUCCCUCCAUCCCUCCAGCUGGUCGCCCACGACGCCGGCUCUCACCAUCGCCGCGCCGAAACUAAUCGUCGUGCUCUCCGCCGCCAGGCUCGAUGCCAAGCCGACGGUCCUCGUCGCUGAGAAGCUCGGCGAGGCCGGGUUGGACCUUCUGAAGGAAUCGACGACCGCCAGUAGAAUCAGGAAUAUGGGUGAUCCUUUUGUUGUUAGGUGCAUUUAUUCUUGUUAAGAGGCCACCCGGGAGGCCUAGGGUGAUAGGGUGAAGCGGUUCAAGUCAAGUGGAGAGUGUGAAAACAAAGCUAAUUCGUUGUGGUCGUUGUGCCAAAAUGGGCGCUCAUAACCUGAUUGUUUGGGGACUUAAAUUCACCAAGUAUUGAAUUUGAAUACCUGUACUUUUGUAAACUAAUUUAAAACCAAACUGAGUUACUUCUGACCAUCUAUAAAAAA